rnacentral:tRNA from 1 species
CCUUCCGUAGCUCAGCCGGAUAGAGCGCUCGGUUCCGGACCGGGAGGCCCGAGGUUCGAGUCCUCGCGGAAGGGCCA